rnacentral:rRNA from 1 species
AGAGUUUGAUCCUGGCUCAGGAUUAACGCUAGCGGCAGGCCUAAUACAUGCAAGUCGAGGGGUAACAGGGUAGCAAUACCGCUGACGACCGGCGCACGGGUGCGUAACACGUAUGCAAUCUACCUAUAACCGGGGAAUAACUCGCCGAAAGGCGAAUUAAUACCGCAUAACACUUCGAGGUGGCAUCACCAUGAAGUUAAACCUCCGGGGGUUAUGGAUGAGCAUGCGUCCGAUUAGAUAGUUGGCGGGGUAACGGCCCACCAAGUCUACGAUCGGUAGGGGUUCUGAGAGGAAGAUCCCCCACACUGGUACUGAGACACGGACCAGACUCCUACGGGAGGCAGCAGUAAGGAAUAUUGGACAAUGGGCGCAAGCCUGAUCCAGCCAUGCCGCGUGCAGGAUGAAGGAGCUCAGCUCUGUAAACUGCUUUUGUUUGGGAAAAAACCCCUGGUUUCUACCGGGGCUGAUUGUACCAAAAGAAUAAGGGACGGCUAACUUCGUGCCAGCAGCCGCGGUAAUACGAAGGUCCCAAGCGUUAUCCGGAUUUAUUGGGUUUAAAGGGUGCGUAGGCGGGCUAUUAAGUCAGUGGUGAAAGCCUCAAGCUUAACUUGAGAAUUGCCAUUGAUACUGAUGACCUUGAGUACAUUUGAAGUGGGCGGAAUGUGUCAUGUAGCGGUGAAAUGCUUAGAUAUGACACAGAACACCGAUUGCGUAGGCAGCUCACUAAACUGUAACUGACGCUGAGGCACGAAAGCGUGGGGAGCAAACAGGAUUAGAUACCCUGGUAGCCCACGCCCUAAACGAUGAUCACUCGAUGUGUGCGAUACACUGUACGCGUCCGAGCGAAAGCAUUAAGUGAUCCACCUGGGGAGUACGGCCACAAGGCUGAAACACAAAGGAAUUGACGGGGGCCCGCACAAGCGGAGGAGCAUGUGGUUUAAUUCGAUCAUACGCGCGGAACCUUACCAGGGCUUGAAAGUUAUGGAAUGAUGUAGAAAUAUGUCAGUCAGCAAUGACCAGAAACUAGGUGCUGCAUGGCUGUCGUCAGCUCGUGUCGUGAGAUGUUGGGUUAAGUCCCGCAACGAGCGCAACCCCUAUCAUUAGUUGCUAGCAGGUAAUGCUGAGGACUCUAAUGAGACUGCCCGCGUAAGCGGUGAGGAAGGUGGGGAUGACGUCAAGUCAUCACGGCCCUUACGUCCUGGGCUACACACGUGCUACAAUGGCCGACACAGAAGGCAGCUACUUGGCAACAAGAUGCUAAUCCCCAAAGUCGGUCUCAGUUCGGAUCGAGGUCUGCAACCCGACCUCGUGAAGCUGGAUUCGCUAGUAAUCGCAUAUCAGCCAUGAUGCGGUGAAUACGUUCCCGGGCCUUGUACACACCGCCCGUCAAGCGAUGGAAGUCGGGGGUACCUGAAGUCGAUCACCGCAAGGAGUCGCCGAGGGUAACACCGAUGACUGGCGCUAAGUCGGAACAAGGUA